rnacentral:rRNA from 1 species
UACGUAGGGGGCAAGCGUUAUCCGGAUUUACUGGGUGUAAAGGGAGCGUAGACGGCAAGGCAAGUCCGAUGUGAAAACCCGGGGCUCAACCGCGGGAUUGCAUUGGAAACUGUUUAGCUUGAGUACUGGAGGGGUAAGCGGAAUACCUAGCGUAGCGGUGAAAUGCGUAGAUAUUAGGAGGAACACCGGCGGCGAAGGCGGCUUUCUGGACAGUAACUGACGUUGGGGCUCGAAAGCGUGGGGAGCAGAC